GGUCGUUUAGCUCAGUGGUUAGAGCGUGUGCUUUACAAAAUUGUCGCACAAGGUCGCAGGUUCGACCCCUGCAACGAUCA
rfam:Coniochaeta ligniaria NRRL 30616 unplaced genomic scaffold CONLIGscaffold_13, whole genome shotgun sequence.